UACGUAGGCGGCAAGCGUUGUCCGGAUUUACUGGGCGUAAAGAGCGCGCAGGCGGUCGAAUAAGUCGAAUGUGAAAGCCCCCGGCUUAACUGGGGAGGGUCAUUCGAUACUGCUCGACUUGAAGGCAGGAGAGGGUAGUGGAAUUCCCGGUGUAGUGGUGAAAUGCGUAGAUAUCGGGAGGAACACCAGUGGCGAAGGCGACUACCUGGCCUGUUCUUGACGCUGAGGCGCGAAAGCUAGGGGAGCAAACGGG
rnacentral:rRNA from 1 species